rnacentral:rRNA from 1 species
AAUGGGGGGAACCCUGAACGAGCAAUGCCGCGUGAGUGAAGAAGGUCUUCGGAUCGUAAAGCUCUGUUGUAAGAGAAAAACGACAUUCAUAGGGAAUGAUGAGUGAGUGAUGGUAUCUUACCAGAAAGUCACGGCUAACUACGUGCCAGCAGCCGCGGUAAUACGUAGGUGGCGAGCGUUAUCCGGAAUGAUUGGGCGUAAAGGGUGCGUAGGUGGCAGAACAAGUCUGGAGUAAAAGGUAUGGGCUCAACCCGUACUGGCUCUGGAAACUGUUCAGCUAGAGAACAGAAGAGGACGGCGGAACUCCAUGUGUAGCGGUAAAAUGCGUAGAUAUAUGGAAGAACACCGGUGGCGAAGGCGGCCGUCUGGUCUGUUGCUGACACUGAAGCACGAAAGCGUGGGGAGCAAAUAGGAUUAGAUACCCUAGUAGUCCACGCCGUAAACGAUGAGAACUAGGUGUUGGGGGAAUAACUCAGUGCCGCAGUUAACGCAAUAAGUUCUCCGCCUGGGGAGUAUGCACGCAAGUGUGAAACUCAAAGGAAUUGACGGGGGCCCGCACAAGCGGUGGAGUAUGUGGUUUAAUUCGAAGCAACGCGAAGAACCUUACCAGGCCUUGACAUCCCUUGCAGAGGUAUAGAGAUAUAUCCGAGGUUAACAAGGAGACAGGUGGUGCAUGGUUGUCGUCAGCUCGUGUCGUGAGAUGUUGGGUUAAGUCCCGCAACGAGCGCAACCCUUGUGAUAUGUUACUAACAUUGAGUUGAGGACUCAUAUCAGACUGCCGGUGAUAAACCGGAGGAAGGUGGGGAUGACGUCAAAUCAUCAUGCCCCUUAUGGCCUGGGCUACACACGUACUACAAUGGCGUCUACAAAGAGCGGCAAGCCUGUGAAGGCAAGCGAAUCUCAUAAAGGACGUCUCAGUUCGGAUUGAAGUCUGCAACCCGACUUCAUGAAGCUGGAAUCGCUAGUAAUCGCGAAUCAGCAUGUCGCGGUGAAUACGUUCUCGGGCCUUGUACACACCGCCCGUCAAACCAUGGGAGUUGGUAAUGCCCGAAGCCGGUGGCAUAACCUUUCGAGGAGUGAGCCGUCGAAGGCAGGACCGAUGACUGGGGUUAAGUCGUAACAAGGUAUCCCUACGGGAACGUGGGGAUG